rnacentral:rRNA from 1 species
UGGAAAUAAAAAAAAAAUAACAAGGUUUCCGUAGGUGAACCUGCGGAAGGAUCAUUACUGUGAUUUAGUACUACACUGCGUGAGCGGAACGAAAACAAAAACACCUAAAAUGUGGAAUAUAGCAUAUAGUCGACAAGAGAAAUCUACGAAAAACAAACAAAACUUUCAACAACGGAUCUCUUGGUUCUCGCAUCGAUGAAGAGCGCAGCGAAAUGCGAUACCUAGUGUGAAUUGCAGCCAUCGUGAAUCAUCGAGUUCUUGAACGCACAUUGCGCCCCUCGGCAUUCCGGGGGGCAUGCCUGUUUGAGCGUCGUUUCCAUCUUGCGCGUGCGCAGAGUUGGGGGAGCGGAGCGGACGACGUGUAAAGAGCGUCGGAGCUGCGACUCGCCUGAAAGGGAGCGAAGCUGGCCGAGCGAACUAGACUUUUUUUCAGGGACGCUUGGCGGCCGAGAGCGAGUGUUGCGAGACAACAAAAAGCUCGACCUCAAAUCAGGUAGACAACCCAUCUC